rnacentral:rRNA from 1 species
GAUGAACGCUAGCGGCAGGCUUAACACAUGCAAGUCGAGGGGUAACAGGGAUUAGUUUACUAAUUUGCUGACGACCGGCGCACGGGUGAGUAACGCGUAUACAAUUUGCCUUUUACAGGAGGAUAGCCCAGAGAAAUUUGGAUUAAUACUCCAUGGUAUUACGGAAUCGCAUGGUUUUGUAAUUAAAGUUUCGGCGGUAGAAGAUGAGUAUGCGUCCUAUUAGCUAGUUGGUAAGAACGGCUUACCAAGGCGACGAUAGGUAGGGGUCCUGAGAGGGAGAUCCCCCACACUGGUACUGAGACACGGACCAGACUCCUACGGGAGCAGCAGUGAGGAAUAUUGGCAAUGGAGGCAACUCUGAACCAGCCAUGCCGCGUGCAGGAAGACUGCCCCUAUGGGUUGUAAACUGCUUUUAUACAGGAAGAAAUUACCGUGUGGUAACUGACGGUACUGUACGAAUAAGGA